GACGAACGCUGGCGGCGUGCUUAACACAUGCAAGUCGAACGGAAAGGCCCUGCUUGCAGGGUACUCGAGUGGCGAACGGGUGAGUAACACGUGGGUGAUCUGCCCUGCACUUCGGGAUAAGCCUGGGAAACUGGGUCUAAUACCGGAUAGGAGCCAUUUUUAGUGUGAUGGUUGGAAAGUUUUUUCGGUGUAGGAUGAGCUCGCGGCCUAUCAGCGUGUUGGUGGGGUAAUGGCCUACCAAGGCGGCGACGGGUAGCCGGCCUGAGAGGGUGGACGGCCACAUUGGGACUGAGAUACGGCCCAGACUCCUACGGGAGGCAGCAGUGGGGGAUAUUGCACAAUGGGCGCAAGCCUGAUGCAGCGACGCCGCGUGGGGGAUGACGGCCUUCGGGUUGUAAACUCCUUUCGCUAGGGACGAAGCUUUUUGUGACGGUACCUAGAUAAGAAGCACCGGCUAACUACGUGCCAGCAGCCGCCGUAAUAC
rnacentral:rRNA from 1 species